AGGGGGCGGAUGUAGCCAAGUGGUUAAGGCAGUGGAUUGUGAAUCCACCAUGCGCGAGAU
rnacentral:tRNA from 1 species